rnacentral:rRNA from 1 species
UGCAGUCGAGCGGANGACAGGAGCUUGCUCCUGAAUUCAGCGGCGGACGGGUGAGUAAUGCCUAGGAAUCUGCCUGGUAGUGGGGGACAACGUUUCGAAAGGAACGCUAAUACCGCAUACGUCCUACNNNAGAAAGCAGGGGACCUUCGGGCCUUGCGCUAUCAGAUGAGCCUAGGUCGGAUUAGCUAGUUGGUGAGGUAAUGGCUCACCAAGGCGACGAUCCGUAACUGGUCUGAGAGGAUGAUCAGUCACACUGGAACUGAGCNACGGUCAAAANNNNUACGGGAGGCAGCAGUNNUGAAUAUUGGACAAUGGGCGAAAGCCUGAUCCAGCCAUGCCGCGUNUGUGAAGAAGGUCUUCGGAUUGUAAAGCACUUUAAGUUGGGAGGAAGGGCAUUAACCUAAUACGUUAGUGUUUUGACGUUACCGACAGAAUAAGCACCGGCUAACUCUGUGCCAGCAGCCGCGNUAAUACAGAGGGUGCAAGCGUUAAUCGGAAUUACUGNNCGUAAAGCGCGCGUAGGU